rnacentral:rRNA from 1 species
AUUGAACGCUAGCGGCAGGCUUAACACAUGCAAGUCGAGCGGAGCGAGGGUGCUUGCACCUUAGCUUAGCGGCGGACGGGUGAGUAAUGCUUAGGAAUCUGCCUAUUAGUGGGGGACAACAUUCCGAAAGGAAUGCUAAUACCGCAUACGCCCUACGGGGGAAAGCAGGGGAUCUUCGGACCUUGCGCUAAUAGAUGAGCCUAAGUCGGAUUAGCUAGUUGGUGGGGUAAAGGCCUACCAAGGCGACGAUCUGUAGCGGGUCUGAAAGGAUGAUCCGCCACACUGGGACUGAGACACGGCCCAGACUCCUACGGGAGGCAGCAGUGGGGAAUAUUGGACAAUGGGCGGAAGCCUGAUCCAGCCAUGCCGCGUGUGUGAAGAAGGCCUUUUGGUUGUAAAGCACUUUAAGCGAGGAGGAGGCUACUUAGAUUAAUACUCUGGGAUAGUGGACGUUACUCGCAGAAUAAGCACCGGCUAACCCUGUGCCAGCCGCCGCGGUAAUAC